CUUAUUCCGCUGCAGUUAAACUUGUUGUCUAUUGUAUUUUAUUAGUUUAACACUGUUGAAGGCUAAUGAUGAUUUAUACUGCAUUAUCUUAGUCAUAAUAUUUCUUACUGGGCUAGUUGAGCUCACCCUUUCUUUCACUGUUCUCUUCAGGAAAUGAGAACGUAGCAGGGACUAGUCGGGGGACAGAGUGAUGGUCCAGAUGAUAGCAUUAGUAGUCCUCACUAUUCUAUGAAAUAGUGUGAUAAUAAUUGUAAUGAGGACUUAUUCUGAGAGUGGAU
rnacentral:lncRNA from 1 species